UGGGGAAUAUUGCACAAUGGGGAAAACCCUGAUGCAGCGACGCCGCGUGAACGAAGAAGGUAUUCGUAUCGUAAAGUUCUGUCCUAUGGGAAGAUAAUGACAGUACCAUAGAAGAAAGCUCCGGCUAAAUACGUGCCAGCAGCCGCGGUAAUACGUAUGGAGCGAGCGUUGUCCGGAAUUAUUGGGCGUAAAGGGUACGCAGGCGGUUUAAUAAGUCGAAUGUUAAAGAUCGGGGCUCAACCCCGUAAAGCAUUGGAAACUGAUAAACUUGAGUAGUGGAGAGGAAAGUGGAAUUCCUAGUGUAGUGGUGAAAUACGUAGAUAUUAGGAGGAAUACCAGUAGCGAAGGCGACUUUCUGGACACAAACUGACGCUGAGGUACGAAAGCGUGGGGAGCAAACAGG
rnacentral:rRNA from 1 species